GUGCUUCUCCUUAGCAACUCAUGUCUAAACUUGGAAAAAUAAAGAAAAUUAACAUGGGCCCUGCACAAAAAUGACUUGUAAAUUUGUGAAGCAAUCCAAAACAAGUUUUU